rnacentral:rRNA from 1 species
GACGAACGCUGGCGGCGUGCUUAACACAUGCAAGUCGAACGGAAAGGCCUGCCACCUUGGUGGUGGGUACUCGAGUGGCGAACGGGUGAGUAACACGUGGGUGAUCUGCCCCGCACUGUGGGAUAAGCCUGGGAAACUGGGUCUAAUACCACAUACGACCACACUGUAGACAGUGUGGUGGAAAGCUUUUGCGGUGUGGGAUGAGCCCGCGGCCUAUCAGCUUGUUGGUGGGGUAAUGGCCUACCAAGGCGGCGACGGGUAGCCGGCCUGAGAGGGUGGACGGCUACAUUGGGACUGAGACACGGCCCAGACUCCUACGGGAGGCAGCAGUGGGGAAUAUUGCACAAUGGGCGCAAGCCUGAUGCAGCGACGCCGCGUGGGGGAUGGAAGGCCUUCGGGUUGUAAACUCCUUUCGCCCGGGACGAAGCCCACCUGG